GCAGGUAUCGGCCGUUUCCGCGAGCCUGCACCCGCGCGUGCAAACUCUCGAGCAGGUCUCUCCUCCCUCGGUCUGGCGGCUCGCAUUUCCCCUGCUCUCCCGACGCUCUUUCCUCUGUGCGACGCUGGUGGAUCUCGCCGUCCCUGAUGCAUCUUUGCCGCCGCAUCUCGUCACCGGUGCCAAGGAAGCUCUCCUCUCUUCCUCCUCCCCACCGUCCCAAGCUCCGGUCCUCCCUCCCAUCCCCCAGCCUGGAUCUCGCCGUGCCUGCUUGUCUUCGCCCGAUCUGGCCGUCACAGCAAACACGAGAUUCCGGCGACACGUACACAGCGCGCCCUCGCUCGCGGACGCCCGCCGGAUCUGGCUGUGAGAGCUGCCGCCCGCCCGAUCCAGCUGUGCCCUUGCUGCUCGAUCUCCUGCUUGGUUCGGCCGUUGGCCUUGUAAAGAUGGCACUGCUUCCCUCCUUGAUCUGACUGAGGAAGAACAAGAGAUCAGCUAGCUAGAGGAAGAAGAACAAGAGAGAGACAUGCUAGUUUUGUUUUGUAUUGGUGUUGUUCGGAUCAAAAUAUCAGUUAGCUAGAGCAGAUGGACAGUAAAGAAGUGCCUUCAAAUGGCUAGCUGUUCUGUGCAUGUAUGUUUAAUAUGACCUCAUGAAUGUUGACAAUGGAAUACACAUAGAAGUAUAUGGUUUUCGUUUGUUUU